UUACACGUUCAUAAUAAAAGUAACUAAAUAGAAACACAAGUCUAUUCCUCCUCUUAUUCAAUAGCAAACGGAAACUGGAAAUCAUUAACUCCAAAGCUAAGUGCACCUCUCAAAAGAAACUUAAUCUGCAAAAAAGUAAUGACGAGGGGUGAGCCGUCAACUCGGUAAGUAAAACCAUUCCUAACACACUAGGCCUAUCGAUACCAAAAAUAUUGCAAGCCUUCUUUUGUUUAAAGCAUAUAUCAUAAUCCAUAAUUUUCAUAAAACGAUAUAUCACAAUAACAUAAGAUAAAUUCUUAAUAAUUCAGAAUAUUCAAAAGCAUAUUUACUUACGAAUCAACUCAUGUAAUACGUAUACAGAAAACAAACAGGUUAGCUCAUGUCACAUAGUGUCACCUAUAGUCCCGGUGACCCGGCCAGAAACAUAAUCAGAAUAUCGUGUGCACAUUCAGAACAGAAACCCAGUACUGGUCCAGACAGAUAUAUCGUAUAUUACGAUCAGAAUCAGAAUAACUAUGGACAAUGAGCCAAAACAUUAAGAAUCUCAUACAAUC
rnacentral:lncRNA from 1 species